rnacentral:rRNA from 1 species
UACGUAGGGUGCAAGCGUUGUCCGGAAUUAUUGGGCGUAAAGAGCUCGUAGGCGGUCUGUCGCGUCGGAUGUGAAAACCCAGGGCUCAACCCUGGGCCUGCAUUCGAUACGGGCAGACUAGAGUUCGGUAGGGGAGACUGGAAUUCCUGGUGUAGCGGUGAAAUGCGCAGAUAUCAGGAGGAACACCGGUGGCGAAGGCGGGUCUCUGGGCCGAUACUGACGCUGAGGAGCGGAAGCGUGGGGAGCGAACAGG